UUUCAUAAGAACAGACAACUUUCUCGACAGGGAAUGGAGUACAGACUUCCGUGAAACAGGUUUUUUUUGUGGUCAGUUGUAAGGUCUGAAUUGCCAUUGACUUUACAGGUGUUCUCAACAUCGACAAAGAUAGAGAACAAUUCUCUCUAAUUUUGAAUGCCAGCAGUUGCUUUGAAGCUCAUUGACUGUGCCUAAGGAGCCAAUGACAAAUUCUGUGGAAGGAUUGUUGUGGUACAAAAGGAAUGUCCUAUCUGAUGAACCGUGAUGGUACACCAUGUCCCCUUAUGAAGAUGAAAUAUGAUCAACAAGUUCUCUCUCCUGCUCCAGCCAUCAUGCCGUCUCUGUCAUGUCUUCUCCUUCACCACCAUGGACUCUAUCCCUCUGCAACUGUGAGCCAAAAUGAACUGUUUCUCCUUUAAGUUAUUUUUUUCUUGGGGUAUUUUUUUUAUCACAGCCACAGGGGAGAAAAACUAGCACAGAUAUUAUAAGUCUCAGACUAAAUUUAAUAGGUAGAGACUAAGGGAUAAACAAAGACAUCCAAAAAAUAGGGUCAAGCAUGGACAAAAAGAGGGACAGAAAGAGCCACUGAGGUUUUAAAGAGGUAACUAACAACUGAGUGACUUUCCUUAUGGUCCUGCUAUCUCUACCAGAAAAUCAGGACUACUCAAGACACACUCAUUAUGCUGAUCAGAUUUUAAAUUGAAUAAGGAGGGAAACAGAGAGAACUUCUGGGGCCUUUGAGGGAGAAAAUUCGAUGGUUCAUAUUAAGAAUGACCGCCUUGCAAAUGUGUGUAGGGUUCAGGUGCAGCAAUUUGACCAGAAGAUAUCUGAAGAGCCAGUUAUGGUUAAAGCCAAAUAUUCUUGUGAUGUUUAAAGAGUCUCAUAUUUUCCAACUCAAAGGGGAAAACAUUUCCGUGCAUAUUUUUCAGCAUUGAAAACUUAUUCCCAUUUUCCCAUAUUCUUGUACUAGACCUUUCCUGAUGAUUGGUGAAGAAAUGAAUUAUCUGGGUGCCACUGUCAAUCUAUGGUGAUGCCCCUUUUCUUAGUAGAGUGUGUGACUCCUAUACACAAAUAAGACUUUACAGCCUUUGAAUACUAGACAUCUCAAAGCUCUAUCCAGUGAGAAGUGUUCACCCAUGUUCCACAGAACAAAGGAGGCCUCCCUUCUUACCAGAGACAAUGGAAUUUCUUCCCCUCGGCAGGGAGAUUUUUAUGAACAUCCUGACAUCUAUGGAGAUGUUUUACAGCCUCUGCCAUGGAUGAUGCUUUCAUUUCCGUCUGACCCAAGGAGGUAAUUUUUAUUGUCCAGUUGAAUAAAGUCAAGGUCAGAGAGAGGAAGUAGCUUACCCAUGUCACUCAGACCUGAGUUAGAUGUACAAUGACUCUGUUCACAAUCAACUGAUUCUAGUCUCCAGGCACCCCACCCUACCCCAACUCCAAACAGUUGGCAAGACUAGCUGUUCAUGUAUUAGCCAUUGAAUUGAUCCUACUCUGUCAUUUCAUUCUGUUUUGUGGAGUCAGUACCCCGUGUCCCAAGAAUGAUGCGUGACUACCCCAUUAGCAGAUCUGUUAAUGAGGACACGCUGUGUUCAGUCACGAGGAAGCUAACUCAAUUAUCUUUCUUUUGAUUGGGUUUUGGUAGAGACACAGAGGGUUUCUGCUUGUAGUUAGCUUUACAACAUGUUAUAAAUAUCAAUAUACUGCACAUUAGCUGUCGAAAAGGAACCUCAGCAUUUCAAAUGCUUGUGAAGAGAUGGAAAUUUCAAGCUGUAUUAAAACCAUUAGUUUAACUCAGAGAGCCACAACUGUCCAGCCAUUCAACACCUCCUUCAAGACCUGCAAGUUUAUGAAUGGAAGCUACAGGUUUGCAGGGAAUUAUUGAAUGGGAGGGAGACAGUGGUGGGGUCACUAAAAUUUUCCCUUUGUACCCUUGGUAGCUCAGAGAAAGCCUUGUAGGACAACACUUUUGUUUCAUUUGAGAUAGGGUCACAUAUAGCCCAGGCUAGAACACCUAGUGUAUUAGAGAUUGGUCUCGAACUCCUGGCCCCUCUGCCUUUACCUCUUCAGUGUUGAUUCUGUAGUUAUUCACCUCUACUGUUCACUAAGAAAACAUUCCAAUAAUAAGUGAUACUUCCCUGGUUUUAUCUCAAGGCAUCAGAAAUCUUGGUAGAAAAUUUAAAGACAAGUAACAGAUAAUAUUCUAUCUGCAUAAAUCUCUGCCUCGAAACAUUAUCAAUACUACAAAGCCAGUAAUUGAUGAGGUGCAAAACUUCUUUUAUAAGUAACCCAUAGACACAUUCAUAUUCAAAAAUUUCAACUAAAUUACUCCUUUUAAAUUUUUAUUUUUUAAAUCUGUGUGUUUUGCCAGCAUGUACAUCAGUGUACGUAGUGUGUACUGGGUGCCCGCAGGGGCCAGAAGAGGGCAUCAGAUCCCCAGGAACUGGAGUUACAGAUGGUUGUGAGGUCAUAUGUGGAUGCUAGCACCUGAACCUGGGUCUUUGGUGAUAGGUGCAAGUGCUCUGAGCCAUCUCUCCAGCCACAUCAUAUGUUAGAUUUAAGUGUUCAUAGAAUAUUUGAUUUCUGUGCUUUCCUCUCACUCUUCCAAACUCCAUGAACCUCUAUUUUAUGGUCAAUGAAGUGAAAAAAGCAUUGAAUUUCACAUGUUCCAUCCAGCCAUUCGAUUUGACUAUUCGAGAAACCCUCUUUCUAUGUCCAUGGGGCAGUUUCCUGGGGGACCGAACUUCAGCUGAAGCAAAGGGCCAAAAUUUGAGAUUUUGGGUUUGCAUACUUUCUGAGCAGAGAAGCCAUUCUAACUAGUUACCUGGCCUAGUGAUGACUAAAGGUAAAUGAGACGCUGCUGACUUGUUGGCACCCUUUCUGGAAGCAUGUUGUCCCAGUCCUCUGUCCUGUUACAGAGUUCCCUCCCAUGGCGGCCUCUUCAUUCCCAGAGCUCUCCUGCUGCACUGGUCCUCUCAGUACCGUUCCUUUCUCACAAGGCCCGGCAUGAGAACCUUCGGACCCCUAUACCAUACACACCCACGGAAUGCCAGGCGCACACAAGAGAAAAGAGCGAAAGCAAACACUACAGCAGCAUGGAAUCCCCACUACGGGAUGUGACUUCACCAAUCCCUUCCUGCGGGAAAGGGUCCUGUAGACUACUGUUCAGUCAUCUUAGGCAUGAGUCCUGCCCAGAAGACACCGCCGGGUAAGGGGGUGUGGUGAGCCUGGUGUGCAAAGGCUGAAAAUCGAGGCAAACAGAGUCCUGAAACAACAGUGCAUUUUGAGGUAAAGAAAUGUUGUUUGGAUACCAUCGACCAGGAACAGGAAGUAAAAUCACAAACAAACAGGACAUAAUCAGGAACUAUGUCUCCUCUUCCUGCUCGAGCCCGUAUUUCUUUUCUAGAAAUCAAUACUAGAAAAAGACUGAUAAAAGGAAGCUGACAAUGUGGUCUGUAGAGUCGCAGCUCUGGCUUUGAAGCUUUCUUGGAAAAGACGCAUCUGGGACUCUUCCCUUCAUAAUACAGAAUAACACAAAUGAAAACAGUGCACAUCCCUUGGUUCAACACUGCAUAUACGGAGGUCAGAGGACAACCUGGUUACUUGGCUGUCAUUUCACAUCUUCCACUCUUCCACCUUGUUGGAGUCAGGGUCUCUGGUCUGCUGUGUACAUUAGAUUACCUACCCCAUGAACAUGGAGGCUGCCAUCUGACCCUAGAAGAACCAAGAUUACAGAAGUGUGCCGCUAUGCCUUGUUGAUCCACACUCACGUCUUCACUCUCGUUAGGUUUGUUGAAUACUUCUUGAUGUCACGGAUAUAACAACAGCCAACACCCCCGACAGUGGCAUGGGAUGAGCAUGAUCAUUGUUGUUUGGAAGAGGAGGCCACUAAUGUCUGGAAGAAGAACAAGUGUCCGAGCUAGCCAGGCUCCCAAGAGGCGGGAAGAAGAUGUGAUUCCAGGCUGGAGCUCCGUGCUGUGUCUCCCAGACUCCAGUGCUGUAGCUGACACUGCCACACCCAUCCUCGCCAUCCAGGGCCUUCUCUCCUUAGCCUUUAUUACAUUUCUGUGAGUGCCUCGUGCUUGUUAAAGACUAACUACAAAGCUUGCUUUUCUUCGGCCAAACCACACGAGUCAGGCCAGGCUACCCCUCCAAACAUUUAGUUACCAUACCUGCUUCCGUGUGAUGACACCUCCAGAGAACAAUGCCAGCCCUGACACAUGACACAGUGCUGACUUUUAGCUCGUCUUACAUUUCAGCACGGCAGCUCUGAUCUAGCUGCUGUUUACCAGCCAAAUUACAGUGGCACACAUUGUCGUACCCGGCCUUCUAACUGGAUUUCAUCCAAUUUCCAUAAGCAAUGGGACAGGAAAGAAAUGAUCAUUGCUUAGUCUCUUAAUCUCAUCACAUUCCACAUGUGGGCGGGUCCCUAGGAGAACGGCAAAUACAGAAAGGGCAUUCCACAUGGCAUCUUUCAGGACUCAGGCAAAAAACUAGAAUGCGAAGCCUAGCAAAAUUUCCAACAUAAACUUUAAAAAAAAUAAAUUCUGUAGAGAGAACAGUGAGAGGGAAAGAAGAGUUGGAAAUUUCCAGUCUAAGUAAACAGUAUUUUAAUUUUUUUUUUAACUCGAUAAACUUUCUGAUCAAUUCAGAAGGAUGGUUGCCAGGACUUCAGGGCCACAAAGAGUAAGACAUCCUCCCAAGAGCCUGUGUCACAGCAUCCCUGCCUGGGAAUACUGAGGACAGUACCUAAUAACUUGUGGGUAGACGUGGUAAGAGUCACUUCCAGGACAAGGCCAUGAGAAGGAAAUCCACUGUCUCUUUUUCUCUACCUCUGUGCUCAAGGGGUGUCCUCAACAAUCGGUAGAAACAUAAAGCCAGAUCAUUGCUGAGCCACAAGAGAGACCACACUGAGACUCAUCUGAACCUUAGAGAGCAAUACCAUUCAAGGAUGAGGGACAUUUCACUGAGAAAAUGCACCCACUGGAUUGACCUGCGUUGAGUUUUCUUAAUUGAUAAUUGACAUCAGUGUGUCUAGCUUACUGUGGGUGCUACCACUCCCGGGCUAAUGGUCCUGGGUUCUAUAUGAAAGCAGAAUGAAGGAGUCAUGAGCAAGCCAGUGGACAGCAUCCUCCAUGGCCUCUGCAUCAGCUCCUGCUGCCAGGUUCCUGCCCUGGCAUUCCUCAGUGAUAGACUUAGAGGACAUAAGGUAAAAUAGAGCCUUUCCUCCCCAAGUUGCUUUUGGCUAUGGUGUUUUAUCGUAGUAAUAGAAAUCUAAAUAAGAAAAUCUGUAAUAUUCUGUUCUUCCUAGUGUUAACUUCUCUCCCCUUUAUGGCCUGGUUACUUUUAUUUGACUUUAGGCAUCUGAACUCAGUAUUUUGAUCAGUGUUUAAGUAUUACCUGCUGGAGGGAGUGUUAGUCCAAAAGGAGUUACUUGGCUGUAGUGAGAAGGCCACACCUACAUGAUUCAGGAAUAAACUUUGUGUGGUCCAUCCUGGGAAGUGAUCUGGUACCACCAUAUGGUAUAGGCUAUCUUGAUUACAACAAGGUGCCAACAGACAGAUGUUUGACUUUCAAAGUAUUCAGUUUAUUCUGGAAGAAGAGGUGUUUUAUUUAAUGUGUUUACAACCAUAAUGUCAAUUUUGUUGGCUUUCAUAAGUGUGUUCUGUAUUAAGAAAC